rnacentral:lncRNA from 1 species
CCCUCGCGGCUCGGCGCGCGGAGGCCCCGUGUGUCCACCUGAAGGUCCCCGGGGUGCGUCUGGCCGCCCGUCGGACCUUCGCUUUGGGGACUGCGUUUUAUCCACGAUAAACCAUUUCCCGAGAAAGGGAUGAGAAAACUGAGAAUCUGAGAAGAGAAAAACAUUGCCCUAGACUCUGCAGUCAGAGAAUCACUACAACCACCACGUGAUCCAUUCACAGGGGUCUGGCACUCUUCCUCAUGCUUACGAGAUGGCUGCUGGAAUUCCAGGAAUCACAUGCAAAUUCUAGUCAGGAGCAAAGAGGAAGAGACACAGUGAAAAGGGGUAUACAGCGGCAGAAGGAAGCUCCUCAAAUGAACUCUGCUAGAACUCUAGCCAGUAGCUUCUCCUUCUAUCACAGUGGCCAGAACUGUGACAAGUGACCAUCCUUAGGGGAAAAAAGAUGCUGAGAAAUGUGAAUUUUGUUGCCACCUUACAUUUUCAAAGGAGUUCCAUUCGUAAGUACAGAACGCUCAGAGAAGAGGCAGCAGAUCUAGGAUAUGGAGCAGCAGCUCUUAAGGGCACAGUGGGAAGGUUUCAAGACUGAGGAGGAUCUUGGAUUUGGGUAGGGGAAGGCAGUUCACAGUAUUGUGGAGGAAAUGCUGUGAAAGAGAAAGUGGAAGGCAUGGAAGCUUAAACUUUUAAUAUGACUGGUGAAUACAAGGAUGAAGGGCAAAGGGAAUUCAGACUCAUGGUGGUCA